UACGUAGGGUGCAGGCGUUAAUCGGAAUUACUGGGCGUAAAGCGUGCGCAGGCGGUUUCUUAAGUCAGAUGUGAAAGCCCCGGGCUUAACCUGGGAACUGCGUUUGAAACUGGGAGACUUGAGUGUGGCAGAGGGGGGUGGAAUUCCACGUGUAGCAGUGAAAUGCGUAGAUAUGUGGAGGAACACCGAUGGCGAAGGCAGCCCCCUGGGUCGAUACUGACGCUCAUGCACGAAAGCGUGGGGAGCAAACAGG
rnacentral:rRNA from 1 species